rnacentral:rRNA from 1 species
GGGCCCGCACAAGCAGCGGAGCAUGUGGUUUAAUUCGAAGCAACGCGAAGAACCUUACCAGGUCUUGACAUUGAUGUAAGCUGCAAGAGAUUGCAGGUGUCUUCGGACAACAGAAAACAGGUGGUGCAUGGUUGUCGUCAGCUCGUGUCGUGAGAUGUUGGGUUAAGUCCCGCAACGAGCGCAACCCUUGCGAUUGGUUGCUAACAGGUAAAGCUGAGAACUCCAGUAGGACUGCCGGGGACAACUCGGAGGAAGGUGGGGACGACGUCAAAUCAUCAUGCCCCUUAUGACCUGGGCUACACACGUGCUACAAUGGCUACUACAAAGAGGAGCGAAGUCGCAAGGCGGAGCAGAUCUGAAAAAAGUAGUCUCAGUUCGGAUUGAGGGCUGCAACCCGCCCUCAUGAAGUCGGAGUUGCUAGUAAUCGCGAAUCAGCAUGUCG